rnacentral:rRNA from 1 species
ACUCAAAGGAAUUGACGGGGACCCGCACAAGCGGUGGAGCAUGUGGUUUAAUUCGACGCAACGCGAAGAACCUUACCUGGGUUAAAUCAAAGUUGCAAAGCGCAGAGAUGCGCUCCCCUCGCAAGAGGCGGCUUUGAAGGUGCUGCAUGGCUGUCGUCAGCUCGUGUCGUGAGAUGUUGGGUUAAGUCCCGCAACGAGCGCAACCCUUACCACUAGUUGCCAGCAUUCAGUUGGGCACUCUAGCGGAACUGCCGGUGAUAAACCGGAGGAAGGUGGGGAUGACGUCAAGUCAUCAUGGCCUCUAUGUCCAGGGCUACACACGUGCUACAAUGGCAGGUACAGACCGCUGCAAACUCGCAAGAGGGAGCCAAUCGGAAAAAGCCUGUCUCAGUUCGGAUUGCAGUCUGCAACUCGACUGCAUGAAGUUGGAAUCGCUAGUAAUCGCAGAUCAGCACGCUGCGGUGAAUACGUUCCCGGGUCUUGUACACACCGCCCGU